rnacentral:rRNA from 1 species
ACGCUCGACACCUACGGGAGCAGCAGUGGGGAAUAUUGCACAAUGGGGGAAACCCUGAUGCAGCGACGCCGCGUGAAGGAAGAAGUAUCUCGGUAUGUAAACUUCUAUCAGCAGGGAAGAAAAUGACGGUACCUGACUAAGAAGCCCCGGCUAACUACGUGCCAACAGCCGCGGUAAUCUGAGCGGGCUGGCAAGGC